AACAAACGCUGGCGGCGUGCCUAAUACAUGCAAGUCGAAUGGGGAAAGCUUUCGGGUGAGUACUAGUGGCGCACGGGUGAGUAACGCGUGGAUAAUCUGCCCUCGAAUGGGGAAUAACUAGUCGAAAGAUUAGCUAAUACCGCAUGAGACUACGACUACUGAGGUAGUUGGGGUCAAAGGAGCAAUUCGUUUGAGGAUGAGUCCGCGUAAGAGUAGCUAGUUGGUGAGGUAAUGGCUCACCAAGGCGAUGAUCUUUAACUGGUCUGAGAGGAUGAGCAGUCACACUGGAAAUGAGACACGGUCCAGACUCCUACGGGAGGCAGCAGUAGGGAAUAUUGGACAAUGGGGGCAACCCUGAUCCAGCGACGCCGCGUGAGCGGUGAAGGCCUUCGGGUCGUAAAGCUCUGUUGUAAGGGAAAAAGUUCUGAUUGUACCUUACGAGAAAGGAUCGGCUAACUUCGUGCCAGCAGCCGCGGUAA
rnacentral:rRNA from 1 species